AAGGCUCGCGCAUGCGUGGCAGGGCCUAUAUAAAGGGCGCGCAGGCGCGCGAAGUGCAGUAGGGGCAAUGCAGGGCGUGGGAGCUGUGUCAACCUGAGGCGUGACCCUGGAGUGUUGAGCGUCCCAGAAGGACAAUCUGCAAUGAGCCUGUGUGUUGGUUGCGUUGGACAUAGUGUUGAUCCAUACAGGCUGUAAAUUGUGCUUAAUUCUGUCCUUCUGAGUAAGAGCUGCCCAGCCUGUGGUGUGUGGCACUGUGCACUUACCUUACCUCUUCCUGGUGAUUGUUGGGGUCUUCUUUUUUGAUGCUUUUGUGCAGAUGAGCCUUACAAAACAAAGGAAAGGCUGUAAUGGUGCAUAAUGUAAGGUACAAAAUUGUAAAAGCACUCUAAUGGGACAGGGCUGCCUGUAUUCCUGUGAUGCCCAAAUGGUCUGUGAGGAGUAUUUCAUUGACUGUGGAAAGGCUGUUGUUCCUCACAGUGGAGCCUGAGUGUUAUCUAGCCACUGGGACUUCUAAAGGAGAUUAUCAAUAUUGCCUUUGUUAAUUAAAAGGUGAGGGGUCAUGAUCAGAGUGCCAGGCAAACUCUGAAUUGUUGGCAGGAUUUGAUUUUGCCUUGUAACGAGGUUUUAUGGGAAGAUUGGAGAGGAGCAUCUCUAGUCACGGGAUGGUGGUGUAUGCACAUCUGGGACAUCUUUUGGAACACUUUAGGAUCUUUAUGGAAGAAUGUCAGUGUACCAAAGGAGUUGUAUAUGUUUAUAUGCAAUAAAAUACUAAUUAUGUGAAA